GUAUUUUGAUAUAUUCUUUAAGGAUAGUUACACAAAACUGAAUUUUGUGGAAAAGCAAAACAUCGAUCAUGUCGUUUUUCAAAUUUAAAAUGUUUCCAGCAUAUUUUCAAGAAGACUUGUCUUUGAAUUAGCAAAAAAUGUAAGUUUAGAAUUCGCACUGUUAUUACUAUACAAGAUGAUUUAAAAUUGGCGUCAUUCCUCCAAGGGUGUUGUCUGAGGGUGUUAGGGAGUACAGGCAAAAUAGUAAAAAAAACAGUUCUCAUUUUGAGCAGCCUCUACUAUUCGGCUAACUAAGUCGCGGGUAAACCAUAUAUUUAUUGUAUCCUUGUGUCUUGUGUAUCUUACAAACGUGGUAGGGAUGUAGACCUGUGAACUGUGACUGUAGAAUGUCAAUUGCUGCCUCCAAUUCCUGUUCCUCUAGGUCUGGAACUCGAGCAUCUUGAUAUCGUCCUCUAUCUGCGUCAAUUCCUGGAACCAAUCGUUCAGUGUCUAGCCUCUAGCCCUUCCUUGGUGUAAGUUGUUACAGCGUCAGCUAUGCUACUGUCAUUUCUCCAUAACGAUUAGUAGCUCAACAUAUACGAUAUUGGUGUCAGUUUUCUGAGAGAAGCUUCAAACUAAGUCACAAUACGUUUCAUCAGUGGUGACGUCACAAAUUAUACAGAUUCGGAGACUGUAUCCUGUACUCCCUAAGUAAAUUUGCAUUGGAGUUAGAUACGAAGUUUCCAAAGUGUGCUGAUUAUCUUAGCAGUGAAGAAAAAGAAACAUUCUAAGGUAUGUAUUUGCAUUUAGGAGUGUCUUAGUAACGAUUCUACAUUGAAAUAAUCACGUAAUUAUUAGCAGUUUUCUUUAUUUUCGACGAAAAUAUCUUGGUAACCUCAAACUUCAUGUGAGCGGAUAGCAAGUUUCGUAUUAGUAACUGUGUUGAAGUGAGUUAUUUGUAUUUAAAUGUUAUAGACGAAUGGUUAUGUGUUGGGCUCUUGAAUAUAACAAUUUUAAUAAUUGUGAAAAUGUUCGUUUUUCCGUUUUCCAAAAAACUUACCAACACGAAAUCGAUGGAUAAAGUUGAUACGGAGAACUCUAUAGAUCCUGGUCCUAGUGGCUUUGAAUGCUGUAUGGAAAUAAUUAAAAUGGCCCUAUACAGCUCUUGGCCUUAUUACAGUAUCUUGUCGCAAAAUAGGUAAAGUAUCGGAGUCUCCAAAAUUAGCAGAACGAAAAUAUCUACCGGAGCAGAAACCCCAAGCGACCAUUUGAGCACAUAACCUGAAACUAAGCCACAACCUUCGACUUCGACUGAAGGUAUUGCUGAAACUUUUAUGUCUACAGCACGGACUGAUGCUGAAAAUUAUUUUCUCCAACAACUGCAAGAAGUGCCAAUGGGACUUAACAAUUUAUCUGAACGUUUUUCAAUUGAAAGUACAAAAGGAAAUGGCGUCUUAGUAUUUAUGUAUUUUCCUACUUAUGCAAUAUUUAAAUGUUUGUUUGCAUUACUCAAAGAUAUGUAACUGGAAAGUUGAAAAACUAAGUAAGCAAGAUCAGUUACUCAUAACUCUCAUGAAACUUUAGCUGUUAGAUAUAAUGUUUCGCCGCCUAAAAUAUACAGAAUUACAGUAAUA